UGUGGCGUUACAAUACCCAAAUAACGGAACGUUCUCGCCCUCCUAAUCGGUGCUCGGUCCCGAGCGAGCCCCAAAUUGACGCCACUGAUGUCGGUGCUCAGUCCCGAGUGAGCCCUAAUUUGACCCCACUGAUGUCGGUGAUUAGCAUUCUGUCCCCUUCGUCGGCGUUGGACGUCAGAGUCGCCAGUGGGCACCAACACGCGCGUCGCCCUUCUGUGAUGCUCCGAUUCCGCGAUCGAGCGACGCCCUCGUUUCUGAGUGAACAAAAUGCUCCCAUUCUUCAUUGAUUUGAGUGCCGAUGUCCGGGCAAAAGACAAUUCUUGACCAGACGAAGUCAAUGGAAUUGAGAUUUUGCCGAUUGCAGAAUAGUGGACUGUUCUGUCUGUAGCAUAAACUAUAGCAGAUACAAGUACCCAGCCCGGUCCAUUGCAUGUCAUCAUCUAUUCGGGCCUUCUUCGUAUCCUUGUAUCAGGUUGUUUGAUAUGAAAGUUUAAACCUGUUUUUGGAAGCAAUAGGUUUACCGUACUGCUAUGAAUACUUUCCACUCCGAUGUUUGCGAUCCAUUCAUUGUUCUUGUUAAGGACUCGAGUGAUGUCACAAAAUGCCAUAUCUACAUAGAUUUUGGUUCAGUAAGUUCGUAUGCCGUCGCUGUGUUUCCUAGUUGGCUUCUCUCUGUGAUAUUGGACAAGAAAAGGCUCAGGGAUGCAGAUAAAUUGCUUUCUCUGAUAUAAUUUCCACCUCUGCUUGGAGCUGUUGUGGUGUAAAAGAGCAAUUCUUUGGCCAAAAUAUGUGACCGUCCUGAUGUAAAAUUGAAAUGGACUAUGAAUUGUAUAGGGUCUGAUUUACUUGGUUCAGUGCACCUGCUAGAUAGAUGCAAUUCCAAUGAUUUUCUUGGAGGCUUGCAGCUGGACUAUCACUGAUUGAUUAAUGCUAUACAGUACUUGCAUAUGUCUUCAUACUCUCAGGUCUUGUCUGAACCACUUUCCAGUCAGCUACUGACAGAAUGUGGUCCACAUCCAUCUGAAUGUUAAAAGUAGGAUUUAUCUUUCACUUUAAGCUACUUUCGAGAAGCAUUUCUCUUCUACAUCGUGUGGGAAACACUGACCUUAAGUUGUUUGGUGCAGUCCACAGUUAAGCGUGAUGGCCAUUUGAUUUCAUUGCAAUAUAAAAGGCUGGGAAUAUUGAUGCCUUGUAGGAAACCAGUGCAUGAUAGGGAGCUAAAGUCUAAGGAGCCUAUGCUAAGUCCACAAUGUUGAUACGAUGACUAGUUCUGCAGAGUUCACUUUCCAGGGAUGCUUUUUCACUUCAGUUGCAAUGAUGCUUUUGUUAUAUUUACAAUGGAUUGCGACCAUGAAAUUUGGUUGUGUGUUAGGAGAUGGCUGAAAAUUCUAGUAGUUGCUUCUCACUUACAGUGCUUCAAUUAUCAAUACGCCAGUGUCUUUCUUAUAUGCUACAUCAAAGGAGUACAUGGAGAUUCAUGUGCAUGGAGAUCCAAAAAAAAAAAGACACCCUGGUUUGGCUCAUGAAUCAUGUGAGAGAGAUGGCGAAAGGAAGGUGGGCCUCGGAUUUUAUUGCCUCUCAAUCCAAACACCUCCUGUCAGCAAGCUCCAAUCAAACCAAGGAAGACUGAGGUCAAGGUUUAUAUGGAUCAACCCAUCUUCUCCGCACGCCAUCUCAUGUGAGCAAUGCCUAGUCCCCACUACUUUUGUGGGGGAAGAAGACGAAGACAACGAACGCAUCAUACAUGUUUUGACGGGUGAAGAGACCAUCGGAAGCGUGACCUUUGCUUGCUUGUGGAGCUGAAACACAUGUUCGACACAGACACGAGAGACAUACAAGAAAGAAA